CCCGCAAAAACCGACGAGUCGGAACCGAAAAAAAGUUCAGAGCCGUGAACUUUUUUUCGAUUUCUGCGGGAUAUCGUUCCACGCGACAUUUUAUGGCGCACAGCGGCAUUCUUUUGUUUUGUUUACUUCUGCCUUUUUUGAAGUGACAGAAGGUUGAGUAGGUGUCAGUUUUCAUCCGAUUUGUGUAGAUUAUAGUCGUAUUUUCUGUGUUAAGUUGUUCUGGAUAUUCACCUACCUACGCAUCAGUAUGGAACGUGCAAUGAGAGAUGAAGAUGGAGAAAUGAGUGGAGAAAUGGACUUCAACGAAUCAAUAAUUGAAGCAGUCAGGAAGUACCCAGGUUUGUGGGACAAAAAGUCGAAGGACUAUGCAAAGAAAAAGACUGUAAAAGAUCUUGAUUGGCAAAGAGUGGCAGCUGAGUGCAGAUGUGAUGUGCAAGCUGCCAAAGAGAGGUGGAAGUCUUUGCGGGACUACUAUCUGGCCAGAAAAAGGAAGACUCUGCCCAGUGGAUCAGCAGCACCUGCAGGUGGCCAUCAGCACCUAGGACCCUAUGGGAAUAUGCUCAGAUUUCUGGACCCCAGCACCCAGCGUGGGCCAUCCUUGAUGAAUACGAGGACUGAAGGACACCCAUAAGUCACUGAGACUGCGACGUGUUUGUAUGUGUGGCUGUGGUUGAUUUUUUUUUUUUGUUUAACUAACUGGUGCCUUGACGUUGAUGCCUACGUGUGCAGACAACCUGUUUUGCCGUAUGUAUCUCUAUGGAUAUUUAUUUUGUAGCUGACGACGUUUGUUAUGUAUUGUCCUGGCGUUUAUAUCCGCAGGGAUGAAGGACAGACUGCCUUUUCUGCGAUAUUUACCUAUGGCUGUUAUUGUUCAAUUUGGAGUUGACAACGUUUGUUUUGUCGUUGCGUUGAUAGCCACAGCCCACAAGGACAGACAGCUUUCGUUAAGUCGUCUGUCCCUGUGAUAUAAGUUGUUCGUUUUGGUUAGCAACAGCCAACAGUAGUUUGUUGCUGACAUUCAUUCAAUACAUGGCUUUGCCGUGCUU
rnacentral:misc_RNA from 1 species